rnacentral:rRNA from 1 species
UACGAAGGGGGCUAGCGUUGUUCGGAAUUACUGGGCGUAAAGCGCACGUAGGCGGAUUGUUAAGUUAGGGGUGAAAUCCCAGGGCUCAACCCUGGAACUGCCUUUAAUACUGGCAAUCUCGAGUCCGAGAGAGGUGAGUGGAAUUCCGAGUGUAGAGGUGAAAUUCGUAGAUAUUGGGAAGAACACCGGUGGCGAAGGCGGCUCACUGGACCAUAACUGACGCUGAUGCACGAAAGCUAGGGGGAGCAAACAGG